rnacentral:rRNA from 1 species
GCAGUCGACGAGGAGCUUCACUGUAGCAAUACGGUGGAGCUUCUAGUGGCGUACGGGUGAGUAACACGUGGGCAACCUGCCCUUGAGUUCGGGAUACCCUCUCGAAAGGGAGGCUAAUACCGGAUACGUUCCUCGGGUCGCGAGACCUGGGGAGGAAAGGUGGCGAAAGCUGCCGCUCUUGGAGGGGCUUGCGGCCUAUCAGCUAGUUGGUGAGGUCACGGCUCACCAAGGCUAUGACGGGUAGCUGGUCUGAGAGGACGACCAGCCACACGGGAACUGAGACACGGUCCCGACUCCUACGGGAGGCAGCAGUGGGGAAUUUUCCGCAAUGGGCGAAAGCCUGACGGAGUGACGCCGCGUGGGGGAUGAAGGCCUUCGGGUUGUAAACCCCUGUCAGAGGGAAAGAAGGGUCGGCGCGUGAAUACCGCGUCGAUCUGACGGUACCUUCAGAGGAAGCCCCGGCCAACUCUGUGCCAGCAGCCGCGGUAAGACAGAGGGGGCAAGCGUUGCUCGGAAUCACUGGGCGUAAAGGGCGCGUAGGCGGGAUGGCAAGUCGGUCGUGAAAUCCCUGGGCUCAACUCAGGGGGGUCGGCCGAUACUGCCGUUCUUGAGGGAUGCAGAGGAGACUGGAAUUCCCGGUGUAGCGGUGAAAUGUGUAGAGAUCGGGAGGAACACCGGUGGCGAAGGCGGGUCUCUGGGCAUUCCCUGACGCUGAGGCGCGAAAGCGUGGGGAGCAAACGGGAUUAGA